CACGUGACCUGGGGGUCACGUGACCUCGAGGAGUGGGGGGGCGGAGAAAAUUUUCCGCUAGAUUUAGCGGGGAAAAUUUUCCGCUAAAUUUAGCGGGGAAAAUUUUCUGCUAAAUUUAGCGGGGAAAAUUUUCCGCUAAAUUUAGCGGGGAAAUUUUUCCGCUAAAUUUAGCGGGGAAAAAUUUCCGCUAGGUUUAGCGGUGAAAAUUUUCCGCUAGAUUUAGCGGGGAAAAUUUUCCGCUAAAUUUAGCGGCGAAAUUUGUCCGCU
rnacentral:SRP_RNA from 1 species